CCGCUCCUUGGUUCUGAUUUCCUCAGCAGCCUGUGCUUGAUGCCAAGUGGUGUUGUCCAACCCAGACCUGAUUCCUCCCUUGACUGUCCUCCGACCUUCCAAUUCUAGCUGCAUGGACAUUGCACACUUGGUCUCAGGAGACUCCAGUUUCAGUUUCUUAGCUGGUUCUCUGAGUGAGGUGAUGGGGAAUCCCUAGCAUUUCUUAGUACUGAUUGUGAGCUUCCCCUCUGCAUGUUAGCAUGCAGUUCGUGACGAUUCACUACAAAUCUGCUCUUUAUGGAGGGAGAGUAUAGGGGGAGCCCAGUAUCACUUUCCAAAUCCUACCCAUCCUUUGAGGCCCAGGCAGGCCCUACCUAUACCACAGUUUGUCCUCUGAACUCUGAGAGCACUUAACUUCAGGGACACCCAAAUUGACAUUUACAUCAAGGGCAUGUGAAUUAUUUUCUAUUUUAGAAUAGAGUUUGUACUUCUUGAAAAUAAUAUUGUACCAUGUAGCUCUUUUUGGUAAUCUUUGCAUUGCCUUGAAUAGUGCUGAUUUUAAAACUAGAUUUUAAAAUAUAAUUUGGCAUAGUUCAAUAAGUCUGGGUUUCAUGUGCUGUCUUCUCUAUCCCAGGAGAUUCUGUCUCAUGUUAUUGUUAAGAGCAUGUGUGGCAUGCCUAGCAAGAAACCUGAAGCCAGCUCCUUGAGAUUGCUCCCUCUUUCACUCUGGAGAUUCCUAAAAGUCAAUGCAAGAAUUCUAGAAAGGAGCCCCUGAUGGAUGCCAAGGGUGUCAUUUGAAUGGGCACCAUUGUUGCUGGAGAGGAUGUGGAGAAAUAGGAACACUUUUACACUGUUGGUGGGACUGUAAACUAGUUCAACCAUUGUGGAAGACAGUGUGGCGAUUCCUCAAGGAUCUAGAACUAGAAAUACCAUUUGACCCAGCAAUCCCAUUACUGGGUAUAUACCCAAAGGAUUAUAAAUCAUGCUGCUAUAAAGACACAUAAACACAUAUGUUUAUUGCGGCACUAUUCACAAGAGCAAAGACUUGGAACCAACCCAAAUGUCCAUCAAUGACAGACUGGAUUAAGAAAAUGUGGCACAUAUACACCAUGGAAUACUAUGCAGCCAUAAAAAAAGAUGAGUUCAUGUCCUUUGUAGGGACAUGGAUGAAGCUGGAAACCAUCAUUCUGAGCAAACUAUCGCAAGGACAGGAAACCAAACACCGCAUAUUCUCA
rnacentral:lncRNA from 1 species